UACAGAGGUGGCAAGCAUUGUUCGGAAUUACUGGGCGUAAAGGGCGCGUAGGCGGCCUUCUAAGUCAGACGUGAAAUCCCCCGGCUUAACCUGGGAACUGCGUCUGAUACUGGGAGGCUUGAGUAUGGGAGAGGGAUGUAGAAUUCCAGGUGUAGCGGUGAAAUGCGUAGAUAUCUGGAGGAAUACCGGUGGCGAAGGCGGCAUCCUGGACCAUAACUGACGCUGGGGCGCGAAAGCUAGGGGAGCAAACGGG
rnacentral:rRNA from 1 species